UUCUAAUCUAGUUUUGUUUUUGAAAAUUAUAGGAAGAUCUUGCAAAUAUCAAAGGGAAGCAAAGAGGUUUCAAGAAUAAUUAAAGCCAGUCAAACUUUUGACUGUUGAUUUUUGUGUAAUCAAGAGUUUAGAGAAGAAGUUGCAGGUACAAUUCCUUGAUGUGCAUGGAGAUCAUAAGCAUCCGGAUGAGAGUUUUAGUACACGAGUACUUUAUUAUUUAAGUUAUCUUUUAUGUUCGACUUUACUUGACCAAUGGGGUCAAGGUUUGACUUUUGAAGAUGGGACUAGUAUGGGAUAGUCUCGGAGUUUGUAAUUCAUUUACAUACUUUCUUAUUUCCGUUGUAUUAAAGUAUUUCCAGUUUAUUUUAAAAGACUUCCGCUGUAUUAUCUGAUUAGCCUUACGUAUUAUCAUGUGCGGCAUAACUACUCCCGCAAUUUCUCCUAGUUUAUAAAAGGAGGAGUCGUGGGGGUGUUACAUCAACUCCAAAGAAAAGCUUGCUCAUCUUGGAAUCAUCCCGCCAUCAGAUGCCCUGUGUGUUCUUUGCAAAUCUCAUGAUGAAUCCAUAGGCCACCUAUUUCUCCACUGUGACUUCUCUAGAAAAAUAUGGGCAUGGUGGCUCAGCUUGUGGGAUCUCAAUUGGGUAUUUCCUCUCCAUUUGAAUGAUGCUUUUUUACAGUGGAAAUAUAAAAACUGUGGGCCUUUCUUCAAGAAAGUCUGGUGUGCAAUCUUCUUUAUAAUAAUUUGGUCCAUUUGGAAAGAAAGAAACUCAAGAAUCUUUUGCAGCAAAUCUUCAUCUCCCAAAAGAGGUUUGUGAUCUAAUACUCAUGAGAAUUGGAUGGUGGAUCAAGGGUUGGAACUCUCCCUUUCCUUUCUCCGCAGGUGACAUUAUCCGUGAACCAAAAUGCCUUAAAUGGCUGCCUCCCUCUGCGAUCCCCUGUCGAAAAUCUUCAAGCUCGGAUGCUACUGUUGGUACUUGGUCUGCCCCUCCCCUUGGGUGGAUCAAAUGGAAUGUGAAUGCAUCAUAUGAUUGUCGGCUCUCCCAUGCUGCUGUAGGGGGGGGGGGGUUCCUAAGAGAUGACAAAGGAAAAUUUAUGGCCCUCUUUUCAAGCCCAAUCCCUCAGAUUGAGAUCAAUUUCGCAGAAGUUUAUGCUAUCCUUCGAGCCAUAAAGAUCUAUAUAUGCAAUGCAAGAACAAAAGAAAGCAACAUAAUCAUUGAGUUCGACUCCGCAAAUGCAGUGCAAUGGUGCUUGGAAGACUCUGGAGGUCCAUGGAACCUUGCCUUCCCCCUCAACUAUAUUCGAAAUGCCCGAAAAUCAUUGCUCAACUUGAAGAUUAUUCACAAAAUCCGAGACUCAAAUCAUGUAGCAGAUUGCUUGGGCAACCAAGGAUUGAGAAGAGAUGCUGAAUUUAUUGCUUGGAUAUAGAGUCAUAAUCUGGGAUGACCCUCUUUUAAUGUUUCAUUUAUAGGGGCUGUAACUUCUAGUAGUGGAUGGAGAUCUCUCGAGUCUGUUUGCAUGAAUAGUCCAU